GGCUCAGGACGAACGCUGGCGGCGUGCCUAAUACAUGCAAGUGGAACGCACUUAUAUCACCGGAGCUUGCUCCACCGAUGUAAGUGAGUCGCGAACGGGUGAGUAACGCGUAGGUAACCUGCCUCAUAGCGGGGGAUAACUAUUGGAAACGAUAGCUAAUACCGCAUAACAGUAUUUACCGCAUGGUAAAUGCUUGAAAGGAGCAAUUGCUUCACUAUGAGAUGGACCUGCGUUGUAUUAGCUAGUUGGUGGGGUAACGGCUCACCAAGGCAUCGAUACAUAGCCGACCUGAGAGGGUGAUCGGCCACACUGGGACUGAGACACGGCCCAGACUCCUACGGGAGGCAGCAGUAGGGAAUCUUCGGCAAUGGGGGGAACCCUGACCGAGCAACGCCGCGUGAGUGAAGAAGGUUUUCGGAUCGUAAAGCUCUGUUGUAAGAGAAGAACAGUGAGAAGAGUGGAA
rnacentral:rRNA from 1 species